GCAAUUAUUGUUUUAUAUAUUCCAACCUUUAAAUGGUUUCUAUUUUAGCUGACUGCCCAAGCCUGAAGAAAAAGAGAGAAAGGGAGAAAGACCUCUCAUCAGACUCUCCCACACAGCCUACAAAGAAGAAACAUGACAAAAGACACAUGACGGUAGAGCACCUCAGUCACACAGGUGCAGUUGUCAAAGUUCCUUUUCUUAAGAAAUGCAAGGACGCAGGACUUCUUACUGAAUUAUUUGAAGAGAUAAUAGAAAAAGUGGAUUUAAUGUAUGCCAGACUCAUGGAUGAAAC